UGGGGGAUAUUGCACAAUGGAGGAAACUCUGAUGCAGCGACGCCGCGUGAGGGAAGACGGUCUUCGGAUUGUAAACCUCUGUCUUUGGGGACGAUAAUGACGGUACCCAAGGAGGAAGCUCCGGCUAACUACGUGCCAGCAGCCGCGGUAAUACGUAGGGAGCGAGCGUUGUCCGGAAUUACUGGGUGUAAAGGGAGCGUAGGCGGGGUCUCAAGUCGAAUGUUAAAUCUACCGGCUCAACUGGUAGCUGCGUUCGAAACUGGGGCUCUUGAGUGAAGUAGAGGCAGGCGGAAUUCCUAGUGUAGCGGUGAAAUGCGUAGAUAUUAGGAGGAACACCAGUGGCGAAGGCGGCCUGCUGGGCUUUUACUGACGCUGAGGCUCGAAAGCGUGGGGAGCAAACAGGAUUAGAUACCCUGGUAGUCCACGCCGUAAACGAUGAUUACUAGGUGUGGGGGGACUGACCCCUUCCGUGCCGGAGUUAACACAAUAAGUAAUCCACCUGGGGAGUACGACCGCAAGGUUGAAACUCAAAGGAAUUGACGGGGGCCCGCACAAGCAGUGGAUUAUGUGGUUUAAUUCGAAGCAACGCGAAGAACCUUACCAGGUCUUGACAUCGAGUGACGGCUCUAGAGAUAGAGCUUUCCUUCGGGACACAAAGACAGGUGGUGCAUGGUUGUCGUCAGCUCGUGUCGUGAGAUGUUGGGUUAAGUCCCGCAACGAGCGCAACCCUUAUUAUUAGUUGCUACAUUCAGUUGAGCACUCUAAUGAGACUGCCGUUGACAAAACGGAGGAAGGUGGGGAUGACGUCAAAUCAUCAUGCCCCUUAUGACCUGGGCUACACACGUAAUACAAUGGCGAUCAACAGAGGGAAGCAAGACCGCGAGGUGGAGCAAACCCCUAAAAGUCGUCUCAGUUCGGAUUGCAGGCUGCAACUCGCCUGCAUGAAGUCGGAAUUGCUAGUAAUCGCGGAUCAGCAUGCCGCGGUGAAUACGUUCCC
rnacentral:rRNA from 1 species